rnacentral:misc_RNA from 1 species
UGGCUCCGGCCUCGAUGAAGAACGCAGCGAAAUGCGAUAAGUAAUGUGAAUUGCAGACUCCAGUGAAUCAUCGAAUCUUUGAACGCACAUUGCGCCCCCUGGCAUUCCUGGGGGCAUGCCCGUCCGAGCGUCAUCUAUCAUUCAGCUCCUGGAGUUGGUGUUGAGCCUCGUCCCGCCCAGAGGGGACGGGCUUCAAAAUCAGUGGCGGCCUACGGGGACCCCCGGCGCGAUAUCACCUGUCGUCGGGGCCGCUCCAGUCCGGAGGCGCCAGAGUCGUGCCGUUUCGAAAAUUCGGGCGACACCAGCCUGCAACUUGACCUCGGAUCGGGUAGGGAUACCCGCUGA